AGCGACCAAGCGAGGGGGACAGACGCCAACCAGCCCUGGUAUCGACAACACUUAUGUACCAAAACUUGGGGGAUUAAGUCUAUCUAUCAUAGUGUAUGUUUAUCUACUUACCACUGACACCCCACGUCUUAGUGAAGUAUUCCCGUAACACCUGUACUGAGUUUUGCCAAAUCGGUGAGGUGUUGGGUCGGGUAGGAGACGGAUCGGCACAUACAAGAUGCAUGUCUUUAUGAAGCAGGAACAAUGCCAAACCUUAAGGAGUACGAAGAGAAGGAUGAUACAGAUAACAAGUGGUAAUAAGAAGGUAGUAUGCGGUGGGGAACACUGUCACAGGCAUUAUCUGUGUUCUAGAGGCAUGGAUGUACAGAUGAACAGGUGUUGCUGAUUAGCCCAGCUGCUGUUGCUUCCGCCACCACCACCUUGCUGUCCAACACCAACAGAAAGUCGGUGAAGUUUCUGUUAAAGUAAGGGUCUUAAGUGGCAGCAGCACUCCCACCUCACGGAUGCACUCGUGAAUUAUUCGUAUUCCUGCGUCACUUAUGUUCUGACGUCACUGAUGACGCACUCCACCUGCAGACAGACGGGGUGAGUGCAUUGUGCUCAUGGGAUCUGCAUAUUGGCCAGGAACUGCUGCAUCUUAUCAUAGCAUUCUAAAGGUCACAAAUCCACCAGUAAAUAAAGAAAUAAUAGGGAUGUCUAGGUAUUUUGCUGCUGCCACCAUCUUGCUGCCGUGGUCAGAGCAGCAUACCACUGACCUAAGCUGCCACUGCUGUCUCAAGGUCAAGGAUAUGUCCAGGUGCUGCCAUGCCAAGGAGUAUCUCGCCAGCAUGUCCUGCUGCUGACCUCAUCCAUGAUCCCUCCACAUCAGUAAGGAAGCUGUUUAGGCAAGAAGACACGAGACUUGUUUCUCGUGUCAUCGCUAAGGAGAGAAGACUGGAUUCUCGUCACCACCCUUCUUGCCUCUGAACAAGUGUGUGAGACUCACUGUUUGCCAGCAGGUGCUGGUACAUGAGCUGCAGUGUGUUCUAAGUCCUCCAGAAUCCUCAACUAACUAUAUAUAUUAGGGGGAAAUUACUAUUUAUUUAUUUUUUUAAAUUUCCCCCUAAGACUGAUAUGUAGUUUCUCCAGUCUUUCGAGUAUGUUAAUUUCACCAGAUAGAGCAAAGAAAAACCUAAUCUGUAUUUAGAACCCCCAAGUAAGCUUACUCAAAAUCAAGCUGUGAUCAAUUCCUUAACUUGCUGUUGAAACUGGUAUUUAUUAUAUAUAUGAUCCAGCAGAGCUCUAUAUAAUAUGAUUCCAGCACAACUCUGUAAGGGAAUUUGAGGGAAAGGGGAAGAGAUGACAUUUUAUAAAAAUUUAUUCUUUCCCAUAACACGUCAAAUUUCUUUCCCAUAACAUAGUAGUAACUUCUACUUUCCCUAUUACCCAACAUCUUCAUAAUUUCUACUUCCCAACAUCUUCAUAAUUUCUACUUCCCUAAGUAGAAUUACAGAAAAAAGCAAUACAACUACUAGAUCAGCCAAGCAAGACAGACAAAAAAAAUUUGACAUUUUCAAAAAGCCAUUUUCAAACUAAAACACCAUUUUCAAGACUAAUAAGCAAACCAUUUUCAUACUAAUAAACAAAC